ACAGAGAGAGAGAGAGAGAGAGAGAGAGAGAGAGAGAGAGAGAGAGAGAGAGAGAGAGAGAGAGAGAGAGAGAGAGAGAUAAUAUGCGCCACAACAUCUGGUGUUCACGUUAAGAAAGGAUUAUGUUUUGACCUUGAGAGCAUCAUGAGCCGUGCAGGUCAGCGGAGGUCACGCUCGCCACUUAUUGUCUAAUCGGUUAUGACCUUCGUGUGGCGUCAGCGUUUCUUUGUCCUCUGCCACGACAUGAUGUUGUAACGCGUGGUGCGGAGUGUUCAGUGUUGAGAAUUGUGCCUCCCAGACCGGCGCGGCUCUGCUGCUCCAGUUUGUGUGUGUGUGUGUGUGUGUGUGUGUGUGUGUGUGUGUGUGUGUGUGUACUGGUGAGUGGGUGGGUGUGUUUUACAGAGGAUGUGCUCAUCAGGACAGCCCCCGCCAGCCCCUCCCGGCACACACUAUAUUUAGCUUUCCCAGCAACAGCGUGACCCUUCAGGCAACAGCAACAACAUCACCUCCUCGGAGAAACACUGCUGGCUCGGUGUCUAGCCGCCCGUCACCUGCUGCCGCCUCCGCUGCUUACCGUGUCCGUCAGCCGCUUGUCCGUGUCACCCGCCGUUGGCCUGUUUUCACCUCGUCAUGUCCUUGAUCCGUUGCCGCGUCGCGUCCGCGGCUGCCCUGCUCGUCUGUCGCCCCAGCACGCGUGAGCCCCGCCCCGCCGCCCCGCCGCCCCGGCCCGCUGGUCGGCGCCGACCGGCACCGGCCGCCCCGCGCACCCUCCGCCGGUUUUGUUGUUUUUGUUUGAGCGGCGCGGGGCGGGGCGAGGGCCGUGCCGGGGCGCCGCCCCGCGGGGCCGCAGCGGCCUCACUGUGUCAGGAGCGUCGCUCAGGUUUUUCUUUCUUGUUGUCUUUGUUGCCCCGCGGCAUUUUGUUGUAAGUAUUAAUGCUGAACGUGUUACUACUUGAACUACUCCUUCAAAGGUACAAAUGAAGUAGCUCGACGUAUUUUUGUAGAAGGGCUUUGUAACAUAACGACUGACCACCGGAGGCCACGCACGCCUCCAGGCACGAACACGACCUUAUUGUCCAUUAAUGUUGAAGCGGCGCAUUGCCCGGUUUUGUUAAUGAGUUGGCGUCCAGUUGAGGGAAUACGAAGGACAAGUUUUGAGCGAGUGACCCCAAGACGCUUCUGCCCCGCCCCGCCCCGCCCCGCACGGCGCACUCCCCGGGAGCCAGGUCGGUGCCGCCCCCGGGCCACUUUUCCGCCGCCGCUGCCGCCAGGAAGGCCGUUGGUCAGCGCCACGAGGAACACUCUGGUCACGACUCUUCGGGCCCCACACGGAGGUCACUGUCCUCUCCGCGAGGCCUCACCAGCGGCGGCCUUCACCGGACCGUCCUGCACCGACCACCCACAGGGGCGCUGACGCGGGGCGGGGCGGGCGAGGCGCGGGCGAGGCGGGGCGAGAGGGAGGCGGGUGUGGCAGGGACGGAGACGCCCGCCGGGGACACAUCGACCUAAGCUGUACAGUACUUUAGGCUGCCCGUUCAUGUAUGGGGUCAUACAUAUUGGUUUAUGUAUGAUUUUGAUGUACCUGCUUUUAAAUAUAUGAAUAUAAAUAUAAAUAUAAAUAUAUUAUAUAUAUACAAAUGUUGCCGCUGAGCGACCUUUAAUACCUGUUCAUAUGGAUGUUGUUGGUCUCUUCUCAUUGUAAAGGGUGUACAGUGAACACAAGCAUAGCAUAUAUAAAGAUUCUAUUACGUUCCGCAGCCACUCUCACUGCUGCUGGGUGAGUGUCGCCCCGGCCGCCACCCAGGCCCUGCGUGCCAUACCCGGAGCGCACCCAGUCCACCCUCCCAGUAAUAAACUUAUUGACAACUUCA
rnacentral:lncRNA from 1 species